CGGUGGCGAUAGCGGUGGGGAAACGCCCGGUCCCGUUCCGAUCCCGGAAGCUAAGCCUACCUGCGCUGAUGGUACUGCACACGGGAGUGUGUGGGAGAGUAAGAGACUGCCGACUU
rnacentral:rRNA from 1 species